rnacentral:rRNA from 2 species
GGACUACAAGGGUAUCUAAUCCUGUUUGCUCCCCACGCUUUCGUGCCUCAGCGUCAGUUACAGUUUAGUGAGCUGCCUACGCAAUCGGUGUUCUGUGUCAUAUCUAAGCAUUUCACCGCUACAUGACACAUUCCGCCCACUUCAAAUGUACUCAAGAUCAUCAGUAUCAAUGGCAAUUCCCAGGUUGGGCCUGGGGCUUUCACCACUGACUUAAUAAUCCGCCUACGCACCCUUUAAACCCAAUAAAUCCGGAUAACGCUUGGGACCUUCGUAUUACCGCGGCGGCUGGCAC